rnacentral:tRNA from 1 species
GUCCCUGUAGAGCAAUGGCUAGCGCGUUGAACUUUUAAUCCAAAGGUCGUUGGGUUCGAACCCCACCUGGGAUA